GGCCUCGCAGCUCAGCUGGUACAGCAUGCGCGUAGGUGGCGUUCAUGCGUGGGUUCGAAUCCCAUCGAGGCUA
rnacentral:tRNA from 1 species